UGGGAAUUUUGGACAAUGGGCGCAAGCCUGAUCCAGCCAUGCCGCGUGCGGGAAGAAGGCCUUCGGGUUGUAAACCGCUUUUGUCAGGGAAGAAAUCUUCUGAGUUAAUACCUCGGGAGGAUGACGGUACCUGAAGAAUAAGCACCGGCUAACUACGUGCCAGCAGCCGCGGUAAUACGUAGGGUGCAAGCGUUAAUCGGAAUUACUGGGCGUAAAGCGUGCGCAGGCGGUUUUGUAAGACAGAGGUGAAAUCCCCGGGCUCAACCUGGGAACUGCCUUUGUGACUGCAAGGCUUGAGUGCGGCAGAGGGGGAUGGAAUUCCGCGUGUAGCAGUGAAAUGCGUAGAUAUGCGGAGGAACACCGUGGCGAAGGCAAUCCCCUGGGCCUGCACUGACGCUCAUGCACGAAAGCGUGGGGAGCAAAACAGAUUAGAUACCCUGGUAGUCCACGCCCUAGACGAUGUCAACUGGUUGUUGGGAAGGUUCCUUCUCAGUAACGUAGCUAACGCGUGAAGUUGACCGCCUGGGGAGUACGGCCGCAA
rnacentral:rRNA from 1 species